AACGAUGCUCUUGGAGGAUAGGGACAGAGACUGCGCGCCGCGCCACUCACUUUGUUCAGCAUCUGAAAGCCAAAAGCAAAGAGGAAAAUGAUAAUAAAACUAAAUGAUUCAGCUACCGAGCUGUAGCUAAGGGUCAGCCUUAUUUCUCCCGAAGCGACCCAGCAGCUAUGCUUACCUCGGGGUUAAUCUCCAUCGGCUUCAGCUGCAUCUUCGCGGAUGGCACCUGCAGACACAAACCCGAGGAGCCGAAAAAACAGCCGGUGGAGCCGCCCAGGCUGCUGUUAUAAAGCGCCGGCCUCGCUCACUGGGAAAGCCUGAGCAGGGGAGACGGGAGCAGAAACAAGCAGAGGAGGAAGGCCAAGAGGGCUCGAACUCCCCCAUGCACCGCACAGAAUGGUACAAGCCAAGCCCCCAAACCUUGCAGUCUCACUCGCCGAAGUGCUCCCCGGACUGGGCAUGGUAGCACGCACCUGUGAUUCCAGCAGCUGAGAGAGAGGCCGAGCCCACAUGGAAUCCAUUGUGCAGUGCUAGAGGAGGUCAGAAGAGGGCAUUGGAUCCCCCAGAACUGGAGUUAUACGGUAACCUCGUGGUGGUUGUGAACCACCAUGUGGAUGGAUAUUGAGUUCCAAACACUGGUCCUGUGCAAGAGCAUCCAGUGCUCUUAAGUGCUGAGCCAUCUCUUUAGCUCCAGUCUCUUAAAAAACAAACAAACGAACGAACAGCAAGGGAGCUGGGUAUGACAACACAUACUAUAAUUCUAGUACUCAGGAUGCUGAAACAGGAGGAUUGCCUGACUGGGAGAUAUAAGGAGAAUCUGUUGUCACCCCCACCCCUCCCCAUAAAGGCAGAAUAAAAGAACGUCCUAUAAACAAAUAAACAAACAACCCAAUAAAACAAAACCAAGAUCUCUCCACCUUUUCUUUGCUUUUUCAGACUUUGUAAUAAGGCCCUUUGGAGUGCAGGAUAUUCGGCAGGACAAGCAGAGAGGGAGACCAUCAGUUCUUUCUUUGAUCAAGAAGACUAUGUUCCUUAGCAAACUGGUGUGUAUUAUCUCUUAUGCAAUGAGCCUGGAAAGAGGGCACAGCCACCGAGGAUGGUACAGCAUGGAUGGAUGGUACGCUACAGAGACUCGGGAGCCCAACUGUGAGUGGCUGACUGGCAUGGUAGGUUCAGGGAAGAAUUGGCCUGUGAAGAAAAUGUUCUUGAAAAGUGAACAAGGUGCAGGAGGUAGGAGUGGGUCCUGGGCAAAGCAGGGGGUGCAUCCCAGCCUCAGGGAAUAGCACAGCAGAGGUCUGUUGAUGCAUGCGAGUGCAUGACCUGCUUGCCAAUAGACGAUCAAGAAUGGGCAAAGCAUCAUGGGUGAUGAGUGGGAGAGGGGAUGAGACAUUCCUUUCUCCCUGCUGAGACUUCCAUUGAACCGAUGAGUUCUGAAUAGAAGAUGCCCCCCCACCCCCCCACCAGUGUAGAAUCUGAAGGGAGGCAUAUAUUACCCUAUAUUACUCUGUGUUGGCGGCGAGCUAUCUGACAGCCAACCUUCCCAUACAUUUCAUUGGGCAUACACUAAUGACAGGAAGUUCCUUUUGCUUGUAUGCAAGAGAUGGCUCACACGAUGGAGAAUUUAAUCUUGUUAGUUUGUUAUUUAUGUGUCCUAAAUUUUGUUCAAUAAAAAUGAAACACUCCUAUG